GUGAGGUUGUGCUGAAAACAAUGAUACCAAACACGGCAAAGUAAAUCGUUUUUAAAGGUGAAAUGUAGACGAAACAUCAAAAGUAGUUAAAAAUGGCCAAUUACACCCUGGACCCCAGAGGGUUAAACUUUUUUUUUUUGUUUAAGUAAUGCAAUAGUUACUUUUCAAGUAAUUAAUUACUUUUAGAAUAUUGUAACUCAGUUACAAUAUUCUAACAGUUUUUUGAAGAAGUAACUAGUAACUAUAAUUAAUUACUUUUUCAAAGUAACUUGCCCAACACUGGUCCCUAACAAUAUAUCAAUCAUAAAAUUUGAAGGUAUAGAACCUCAUUUGGUUUUUCUGCUCCAUGCCAGUGCCUUCACAGUCUCUUCUGUAGAGCAGCCAGGUGGUAACGAUGAUCAUGUCCAGAAAGUGGAACACCAGCUGGUGGUACCAUGUCUUGAAUCUAACUGCGGUAGAGUGCAAUCAGUGAGUCAAGCAGGUCCACCCCAACCAUAGUCUUGUUAUAUUCUUGCACCACAGCAGGGCAGGGGACAGUGAUGUGUUUCUUCUGCUUGCAAUUCCACCUGUUAUGAUAAUAAUAGUCUGUCUGAAGAACGAGAGACAGAUUUUAUGUUAUAAGCUUCAUGUUAUGGAUGCACAGUGUGAGCACUUAAUAAAGUGUAAGUGUUUUUUCUCCCACUGUUGCAAAAGUGGUUGCUGAAAGAGGGUCGUCUGAAUGUUUCUCCAUGAAGCACAUUGAGGUAAAUGUUGUUGGGGCUCCUCCUGUGAUGAUGAGGAGCUCCUCCUGUGAUGAUGAUGAUGAUGAGGAACUCUUCCUGUGUUGAUGAUGAGGAGCUCCUCCUGUGAUGAUGAUGAUGAUGAGGAACUCUUCCUGUGUUGAUGAAGAGGAGCUCCUACUGUGCUGAUGUUGCUCUGUUUAAUGUAGGAGGUCGGGGAGCAGACCUGUGGAGCUGUGGGGGUGACAGCUGAGACGGAGCGUCUACCUCUGCUUUUCAGGCCUGUUUCUGCUGACUGCUGCAGGUGUGUGUGUGCUGCUGCUGUCCUCUCUGGCUGUUCCUACAGAUCUUCCUCCAAACUGGGACCUAAUGACGAACAUUCCUUC
ensembl:lncRNA